rnacentral:ncRNA from 1 species
GGAGUAACCUCCAUCCAACGGAUCGUCGGGCACGUACCUGCCCGGAAGGAGAGCUAGAA